rnacentral:lncRNA from 1 species
CGGCUCUGAGUUUCAAGACUGACUUGAAUCUCCAGUGAGGCAACAGUCUGGAAAUUCAGGCCUCAUUGUGCCAGAAAGAAGUGUCUGAAUGCCACACCUCCCCUUUCAGACAAAGCGUCCGGCUCUGGGGACACAAGGCGCAGUAUAGGAGGGACGCUGGCCACGUGCGGACUGGGUCAGUGAUGGCAGGCUCAGAGACAGGCAGAGCCCGGCCUGAGCAUGGUUCUUCUUCUGUUUCUUCCCCAGUUGAGAGAGACCCCCGGGCGGGGAUGGAAACUCGUGGACACAACUUUUGGUUAAAUGUGGUGGAGUAGCCCAGGCAUUUACCUAAACCCCACUAAGCCAAUAGAGAAGGGGCAAGAGGACGGAGAGCAACAGAGGAAACAGCAGCCAAGGAGAGUCACCAGCAACACUUUGGAGAUGGAAAGCGGGUGGAGUUUUCCAAGUGGAGGAAAGUGAGGCCUAAGUACCUGGGUGGGCCAGGCCGAGGGAGAUAAGCUAUGGGACCCCUGGCACCAAGGCCCCGGGCCCUGGAGGGAGCGAGGGCUCCGGUGGCGAGGGCUCCGGUGGCGAGGGCUCCGGUGGCGUGGGCUGUGGCCUGGCCAUGUUUGCACAGCAAGCAGCGAGACCUCUAGGGCCUUCCUCUGCCCUCCCCACCCCAGACUGAGGUGACUCUGGAGAGGCUGAGGGUGGGAGGAGAGGCUUGAGAGCCCAUGUGGGAAGGCGAGGUCUGGCCCUUUCUCUGCUCCUCUCCUGGGAUGUUCCGCCCUCCAGCAGGAGGCUGGACAAUCCCACCCGAGGAAGCUGUUGGCUAGGAGGCCAGAGACACGGACGCUGACCCCUGGGGCUCCCCUAGUGAGGCUGUGGGCUGCACCCGGCUGCUCCACGUGAGGCACAUCCACAGCCAGGCCCUGCCCUCCCGCCAGAGUCUCCAGCCAGUGUUUUAAUGUUUUCCCCUCAAAUAUUACAUACGGCCCGGGGUCUAAUCUGAGAGGCAGAGACGGAGCGAACAAAGCAGACAGAAGGACUGGGGGAACCUGAGACGCAGGGAAGGUGAAGGCAGCACGGACCACGCCCAUGGCGCCCACCUAGAACCGCUGUCCUCAGCCAGACGGGAGGCCUCGCGUCCUCAUCACAGGAUGCCUCAGGAGGCCAGUUCAGAAGGAAGAGAGAGACAGAGAUGUGGAAACAAAGCAUCUGAUGGAAAGGUCGAGAGGGAAAGCUCUCCCUUGUCACUGCUCCUGCCAGGGCCCCACGCACUGGGCUGUCUCCCAUCGUCUCUACUUGUAGUGUCUCUACCUGUCUCUACUUGUUAUCACUCUCUGUCUCUGUGCUACUGUUCCCAGUGUGCUGAACCAGUUGGGGACACACGGGUUGAGGUCGCAGCUCUGUCCUCUCUGGGUUUGCGGGAGGAACCUAGCUUCUGCACUGCCAGGAAAUGUGUUGGUUCCCCGGGGAAGUCCCCCGUGUUCUCAGACUGCCCUCCCUCUCUCGGGCCUCGGGAAGUCCCCGGGGCUCCAGAUCAGGCACCACUGCACACUGAGGCCCCAGUCACUCCUGGCAGCACCCACCUCCCUUCCUGGCCCAUUCCCCCAACACCUGCCACCACCCCCUGAGCUCAUCUGGAGGUCUGAGGAGGGGAGGACAAGGAAGGGGCGUGGCCGCUGUGGCCGCUUCAGGUGACGCGGUAGAAGUGGCAUUUGUCCCGCACUGUCUGGGUGUGUAAGGAGACACUCGCCCCCCAAGGCAGCCCCUCUAAGUGUGCACUAUAGAUGGGGAGAAACCUCAGACUCCUGGGCGAAGCUGGGCAAGCACGGGGUCCCCGUGGGCUGCCUCUCCCUGAGGCUUUGGGCUGCCCUCCACUCAAACCUCCAACGGGGCCUGACUUGGUGGCACAACUGGACUCCACAAAGGGGGUGGGGGUGUCAUCCCUGAUGUGCUGUGUGCAAAGCUCCCACCAUGACCCUCAGCUGGCUGACUUGGCAAACCACAUUUCUACAACAAGGUAAACAGUGUUAUCGGCUCUGACUCUGCUGAACAGACACCGAGACCUGCGCUUUUGCGGGUGACAAGCAGGCGGUUUCUCCGCUGGGCAGGUGGGCCGCCAGCCAGUCCCAGCCCCUCUCUUUCCUGGGCAGGGAGAGCAACCGGCAUUCUGGACACAGCCGGUGCUGAAGUCUAGGCAGGUGCUGGGGGGUGGGGUUGACGCCUUUUCCAGGGACAGGGAUGUGGGUCCUGCUGGCUGCCGAGUCCUCAUCUUGGACUGUUGCACGGUCACUUGCUGCUCAGAGUCCUCCCACCCCUCAGAUUAGCGCCCAAGAGACAGCCAGUGCCUGCCCUGCGGUUCCACCCCCUGGGCCGUGUCUGCCUUUCCACCACCACCCUCCUGCUGUGCCCGACUGCAGACCUCACUUCUCCGAACAUUGCAGUGAGCAGGUGUCAACACUGUUCUUUUUCUUGGUGAAAUGGAAGGUCACAGCUGCACUCAGGCUUCUGACGUGGCAGCCUGGCAGUGACUGCCCUCCCUAGAGACCUGGGUUCUGGCCCCAUGGAGAUGACUGCAGGCUUCAGCCAGACCGCUGCCUUUUGUUGUUGCUGAGCAUCCUUCCUCCUGAGCCCCUGGUCCUUGGGCGAUGUUCCCCUGAGGGCAGAGAGCCUCCUGGGCCGUCAGCCGGGGCUGACUAGGGGCUGAGGACGCAGAGCCUGGACUCUGAGUCACUUCUGCCUGGGUUACGGCCAGGCUUCUGUCUGAAAGUCUGGGAAAGCCCAUUCGUUCAUUCAGCAAACAUUUCUCAGGCUUGCUAGGGGGCACCAGAGGCACUGAAGGAGUGAUGUGGAGUCUAUAUUCUGGGCUCACACCCAGAUUUCUGGUCAGCUGGCAUCGUGGGAGGCUUGCAUCCCCACUCUGAUUCUCUGAUCAGCAGCUUAGAAGUGUCUCCAGACAGUUGUGGUGACCUCAGUCUCAGUAGAAAUUCUAAUUUCCACCUUGGGGGACACAGGCUGCCCCAGGGACCCCCAGCCCCUGGUGGCUGGGAGAGUUCCAGCUCUGCAGACCCCGAGGGCGCGACCACAGGAGGUCUGAUCUGUGCCUCUCUGAGCCAGGCCUCGUCUGUGUCAGCAAAUGGAGCGUGGCAAUUGGCCAAAUUAUUCAGAUAACGAGAGCAGAGACAUCCCUGUGUCCCAAGCAUAAGUAUUUCAGGGAAAAUGGGGCUUCUGCUGCUGGCAACAGAGAGAAAGCUCUAUGUCCAGAGGAGGUGGGGAGUGUUCAGUGCUUUGAGGGGCAGCUGGAGGCGGUGGCGGGGCAGAGCCUCUUUCCCAGAUUGGGCACCACUUGCCCGGACACCCAAUGCCCAGGGCUCCUCUGCGGGCUUUGGUUCCGGGCUCCUCUCUGUCUCAGCUCUCGGGGGAGGGUCAGGAAAUAAGAGAAAGGACAAGGUCAGUUUAGACAGGGCCCCGACCAAUCUCUUUGGGUCUGCAUCCCCAAAUGAACCUGUCAACUGAUGGAACCAGCAAUCAGGAUGAGCAGCGCGCCAGGAACCCGUCAGACGCUAAGUGGGAACACAUCUGUGGAUGAACACGGAAGCCGCUGCGGGCUUUCUCCUGUGAUGCCACAGCGGGUUUGGAUUUUGGGAAGAAGAAGAAGAAAGAAAACUGGGGUAGCAGGAGUGUUUGAGGAGAAAAUCACUGAGAGUUCUCCAGAAUGAAUGAAAGAUGCUUGUUCACAGACUCAAGAGAUCCAGUAAAUUCCAAGCAGAAGGACUGAAAAUGCAACACAGUGAGUGGCCCCGUGGCUCAGAAGGUGGGGUCCAGGCCCACCCACCUGGGGCCGGCGCCGCGUGUCCAGUGGCUGUGCAGGGAUGCGGCCCACAGCUCAGAGGCUGACCCACGGAGGGUUGUUGCCUUUAGAGGGCGGCAGAGCUAUGGCCUGCAUGUGGGAGAGCUGGGGGGCAGGGACCACGUCUUGUGGGGUUCUUGAGCUUAAAGGUUGUGGAGAGGAGCUGCAGGCGGAGGCGACCGAGGAGAGAUGGCGCUGUGGGACCCCGAGCCACUCCAGCUGUGGCAGCAGCAGCAGCAGCAUCCCAUUCUGCCCCGCGGCAGGUAAGGAGGGCUGAAGCUGGCUGUUCAGUUCAGUGACCACAGGUCACCUUUGCGAGCGCCGCUUCUUAGAGACAUAAUAACUCUGAAUGACCCACUUUCUUUCGGAGAUUUAUUACAGCUUGUUGUUAUUUUAUUAUUACUGUCUGCAAUUUUCUCUUCUACUGCUCCUGGGAGCAGUAAGUUUAAAGUGCAGUCCUUCAGAAAAGGCUUGAAUUGGGCAUACAUCAUCAUCUCCGUAGAUGGCCUGCUCACAGUGAGCGUCGUCUCAAGGUUUAGAAGGGGACGCUGUGGCUGUUUCCACCCUGGCUGCCCCUUUUCGCACAGGUUGUUCCCUUGGGGGCUGCGGGGGUGGGUGUGUGCGUGUGUGUAUGUGCUCGUGUGCGGGUUGUGUGACCUUGGAGGUAACUUCAUUGCUCUAAGCCUGGGCGUCUUCAUCUGUUGGGGGCAGGGUGACGAGCUCUGCCUUGCUGGGCUCUGGUAGCUUAGCAUAUGGCUGGAUGGGAAGUGUCUGCAUUUUUCUGGGUGUUGGGCUGGAGUCUGGGAGACAGGCCAUGGCGUGUGUGCGUGACUGUCCUGGUGGCCUGGGAUGGUGGAAGGAUGACAAGGGUGGAGUCCUUUGCAUGUGCUGGAUCUGGAGAAACAGGAAGCAACGCUGUCAGAAGUAGGUGAGGUGUCACAGCCUGGCUCCUCUCUGCUGCCCUUGUGCCCUGAGUGUCACCUGCACUGAGACUUGGAAACUUGCCAGAAGCCACAGUCCAGGUCAGGACUGGCACUUGGUUCUUUCCCACCCUGGCUUCACGCGGUCUCCGAAGCACGAAGCAGAACCCUGAGAGCAGCACCUCGGUCAGCAGAGUGGUGACCAGAGCCCCCCGGCUGGUGCCUCAGUGGAUCUGACUGGUGACAGCUGUACACAACGUUAAAGAAGGGCUGACUGUUUCACCCUCCUCACCCCAAAAGCAUCUGGAGGAGAACCAGCUGUGCAUUCUCCCGUGACUCCAGGCUUGGCAGUACGCCCGGGCACCUGCCCUUGCCCCCAGGAACCCUGCCCUUAAAGAUGAGUGUUCGGGUAAGAUGGGUGGAGCUUUCUGAACAGAGGAGGCCCAGAUGCUAUCUCAGGGCGUUCUGUUCCUCCGUGCACCCGGAACUGCCUCACCCUUCCUGCUCCUCCCGCUGCCCCCUUCUAGCCCCUCGUGGCCGUGAUGGCCGUAGGAGACCCUGUGCAUGUACCCGCCCAUCCCAUACCUGUUCUGUGUGCCCCUCCCUCCCAGCUUUGUUGUGCUUCUAUGACCUGCACCUCCCAUGCUUUGUCAGAGAACCGUCCCCACCUGCAGGUGCAGGGAGCUGACAGUACUCGGGGUGGGGGCAGUGACUGGGCAGGAAGCCAGGACGGCUCUGGGCAAGACUCCACCCUCCAGAGUCCCCACGGAAUCCUCCUGGCUGUCCCCUUCCCGGUUCUGUUUCCUCAUUCCCUGGGGGUAGAUCCUUAUCAUGUACACAGGGAUGGCCUUCUCGGGGUCUGUGCCUGAACCCUGAAUCCUGAAUCCUGGAGUGUCUGUGGUCCUGGGACCCAGAGACUAAGGAUGUGAUUCUCAGCUGACCAGACGGCGACAAGUGCCCCUCCCUGGAGAUGGAAUGGGGAUGCAAGCUCUGGGUCCCUGGAAUGCCUUGGUGAUCCCACGUGGACGGCAGUCUGAUCGCAUAUUUGAUUUCCGUUCUCCCCUGAAAAUCCCCGGUCACCAGCACUUUCCUUGUGGGUGUGCAGGUAAUGCAAAGCUAUUUCUUGUUUCUCUGCAUCAACUUGAGGAUCACUAUUCACUAAAAAGAAAUUUGUUUGCCUUAUUAAUGUUGCUAAAUGGUUUUUCAGUGAUCUCAAGGCGAUGUUUAUAUGUGAGAAUGGUUUUCUUUUUAUUGUUGCUGCAUUCUGAAAGAACGCAUCUCUAUCCUUUCGGGAUUGCUGAAGGAAAGAAGAGCCCUGUCUGCUUAUCUGAGGGGGUCGGGGCGCUGGAGGGAACUCUGUGGGUGCAGAGACAUGCUGAUGUCACCUGGGGAGAGGACAGGGCACAGGCGGUGUGACUGCAGGGUCGGUUCAGUGAGAACCAGAGCCUUUUUGUGACCCUCCUUUAUAACGGCUGGCUAUGCAAAGUUACUUGGUUAAAUUGAGCAUUAUUACUAAAGACAGCAAAAUCCAAGCCCUUAUUUGAGUCCUAAAUUUGUCAGUUAGUAGCCACGUGACUGGUCACCUCAUCUCUCUGAGCCCCACUGUUCUUAUUUCCCGUCAUGAUAAAGAUGGUGAUGACACUGGUGAUAGGAUGGUGAUACCUUGCCUCGUGUCACAUCUCUGGAAAUGAGUGAAGACUAUCCAGAUGAGGAAAGCAAAGUCACCAGGAAAGCUCUAACCUUCUGGGCAAAGACCUCUCCUGGACCCUCCUUCUUAUUCCGCUCCUGGCCUGGCCAUCUUUUGCUUCUGGGAGGGCAGCACUGCUGGUGCUCAUUGACUGGCUUGUGAACAGCGCCUUCACUGGACACCCCAGAUCAACAUGCAGGUCCGAUGCCUGGGGGCCCACAUGGAAACGAGACUUGACAGUUCACACCGUGGAACUGUGUGCAUGGAGAGGAAGAAAAGGUGCCCAGGAUUCAGUGGGUUGACAUUUGCUGCUCGCGUAUUCUGAGAAUCUCCCCUGAGAAUAAAUCUAUUGCUUAUUAAAAAAAUAAAUUAUAAAGACUUCCUGGUAAAGAUGGUGUCAUGGACCCAGAUCUUAGAAUCUCCCUUCCCCAAUUCCUGAUGAGACUAAUAAAUAGUAGAAAAAAUUAGCAAAACAUUUUCCACUCUCAAAGACAGAGUUAUAAAUUCACACCACAGCAUUUGAGAACGGCAGCCAAGGAAAGCGGUAGAAGAUUCUCGUGCAGCAUCUAACUCCUUCACAGCUCCCCGGAGACUAUACUGGAAAACAAGAGUCAACAAAGUCCUAAUAGUUCUCACUUGAAUUCCCUAAUGUUGGGAGAGGUGGACAGACGGUGGGUGUACAGCCUGGAGAGAAGUUUCAAGAAAUCCUCAAAUUGGAGGCUCUUGCCAACCACGGUGCAAUCUCAAGGUCUAAGCAGAGGCAAGAAAAUUACCAAGUUUGACAUUUUCUAGGACUCCACGCUGAGUUAAGGAAAUGCCCAAACCAGUAUCCUGCCAAGCGGGCUGACACUCCCCUGAGUAACUGUGUGACAUUUAGCGCAAUCUCAGAAAAGACAGCAGAACCCGGGAAAUCCAAUACAGCCUCACAGAGCAAGAAGAAAGGGAAAUUUUAGAGACCUAAUAUCAAGUGAGUGCAAAAAUCAGCCCCUUUAUAGAACUAGAAAAUGAACUAGAAACAGAAUAUACACAGCUAAAAUUUAAUCAACUCUUCUGGAGGAAAGUCUUGAAAUAAUCGUUGUGAACACAUAGGAGCUGUACAGAGAUAUGAAAGCAAUUAGAAAAAACAUAAAAGAUUUGAUGGGUUGACUUAGAUGAUCCAAUAUGAAUAAAAUUUAUUAAUGUUAAUUAGAAAACCAAUCAAUGAACAGAGUUUUCAAAAAUGUAAUAAAAAAAUUCCUGAAGUUAAAGGAACCUGAAGUUAAAGAUUGAAGAUGCAUAACUAUGAAGUAGUCUAGAAAAAAUUCAUUAUUAAAUGGACACAUUAUUAAGCGGGCAUGUUUUGACUGAAUUAUUGAACUUUAAGUGAAAAGAAAAAUUAUUUAGGUUUUGAGGAAGAAAAUGAAAUUCAUAUACAAGGAGAAAAAAACCAGGCUGACUACAUACUUCUUAGCAAUAUUCAAUGUGAAACGACAAUUGAGCAAUUAUCUGGCGCGAUUAAAUUGUUACCCUAAAAUGUAAAGCCAGUAAAAUUGUUAUUAAGUCUAAAGGCAAUAGGAGGCAUUCUUUAAAAUCUCAAGAAAUAUAGAGCCAGUGAAUAUUUUAUUGAAAAAAAUAGUCCAGUGAAGCAAGUCAGUUGAUCCAAAGAUGAGUGAAGAGGCUAUGCUCAGGGUCGGAGGUCACUGGUCAGUGGAGCGAUGUCCAGAAAGUUCUGAGGGAAGGCGAGUGUGACCCAGGAAUUUUACACCCAGCCAACCUUUCUUUCAAAUACUAAAGCCGUAGACAGACAUUCUCAAGUGAGCAAACUGCAGAGAAGAAACCACCCAAGAAUCUUUCCUGAAAAAAUGUGACAGUGAAAUCCAGCCAAGCAGAAGAUGAAUAAAAACAGAGUGUAGAAAUGGACAAAAGAACUGGAGGAGUAUACUGAAUCCACGGAAAUAUAGUUCUAUAUGCAGGGAUUUCGAUGAUUGAGUUGAGGGUGAAUGCUAUAAAGCAGGAGAAAACAUAAAAUUAUCAAAAAUUUACAAAGAAGUGGGAGGUGGAGAUCACAGGUGGCGUAAGUGCAAUAUUCUCAUGGCUCCGAACUCCUAAUGUUUUGUGUGUUGUAAAAAAUGUUUUCGGAAUCCAAAUGAUCUUUUCUGGUGAAUAAACACUACUCGAGGUUCAGCAUUUAAUUGUUUCAUCCCAGUUUCUUUUUUAAUUUAUUUCAAGUAAAUUAAAUUUUAAAAAUUAAAUUAAAGUAAGUAUGUGUAGGAUGAAAAAAACUCAAUUUCUUUAUCUAUAAUCUGUCUAUAUCUAUCUUUAUCUAUCCAUCCAUCUAUUCAUCUACCAAUCUAUCUAUAUCUAUUAUGUAUCUACCUAUGUAUCCAUCCAUCAUCUACGUAUCAUCUAUCUACCUUCUAGCUGAGUGCAUGCAGUAUUUCCGUUUUGUAACACUGUAUCUGUCUAGCCUUCCUCUGUGCCUAUGUGUGCAUGCAGUGACAGAGAUUGAAAUCAUGGUAACUAUCAUUGUGUAUUAGUCUGAUGGGUCUGCCAUAUCAACCUACCGCAAACUGCGUGAAUUUAACAAUAGAAUUUUUUUUCUCACAGUUUGGAGGCUGGAAAGUCCAAGGUCAAGGUUCUGGCUGA